GACGAACGCUGGCGGCGUGCCUAAUACAUGCAAGUAGAACGCAGUUGCGCACGGGUGAGUAACGCGUAGGUAACUGCCUCAUAGCGGGGGAUAACUAUUUGAAACGGUAGCUAAUACCGCCUACUGUGAGAUGGACCUGCGUUGUAUUAGCUAGUUGGUGAGGUAAAGGCUCACCAAGGCGACGGUCCAUAGCCGAGCUGCGAGGGUUAGCGGCCAAACUGGGAACGGGACAAGGCCCCGACUCCUACGGGAGGCAGCAGGAGGGAAUCUUCGGGAAUGGAAGGAAGGCUGACCGAGCAACGCCGCGGGAGUGAAGAAGGUUUUCGGAUCGUAAAGCCCUGUUGUUAGAGAAGCGGUAUCUAACCAGAAAGGGACGGCUAACUACGUGCCAGCAGCCGCGGUAAUAC
rnacentral:rRNA from 1 species